GUGCUCACUUCAGCAGUACAUAUAUUAAAAUUGCAGUGAUACAAAGAUUAGCAUGGCCCCUGAGCAAGAAUGACACACAAAUUCGUGAAGCAUUCCAUAUUUUU